UACGUAGGGUGCAAGCGUUAAUCGGAAUUACUGGGCGUAAAGCGUGCGCAGGCGGUUAUGUAAGACAGGUGUGAAAUCCCCGGGCUUAACCUGGGAACUGCAUUUGUGACUGCAUAGCUAGAGUACGGUAGAGGGGGAUGGAAUUCCGCGUGUAGCAGUGAAAUGCGUAGAUAUGUGGAGGAACACCGAUGGCGAAGGCAAUCCCCUGGACCUGUACUGACGCUCAUGCACGAAAGCGUGGGGAGCAAACAGG
rnacentral:rRNA from 1 species